rnacentral:rRNA from 1 species
AAGGAAUAUUGCUCAAUGGCCGAAAGGCUGAAGCAGCAACGCCGCGUGGAGGAUGAAAUACUUUUGUAUGUAAACUCCUGUAAGGGGGGAAAAAUACACAGUUUAUACUGUGUUGAUUGUACCCCCAGAGUAAGCACCGGCUAACUACGUGCCAGCAGCCGCGGUAAUACGUAGGGUGCUAGAGUUGUCCGGAUUUACUGGGUGUAAAGGGUGCUCAGGUGGGUUUGUAAGUCAGAGGUGAAAUCCCAAAGCUUAACUUUGGAGCUGCCUUUGAUACUGCAAGUCUGGAGUUUGAGAGAGGGCAAUGGAAUAUCUGGUGUAGCAGUGAAAUGCGUAGAUAUCAGAUAGAACACCAAUGGCGAAGGCAGUUGCCUGGCUCAAAACUGACGCUAAAGCACGAAAGUGUGGGGAGCAAAC